GCAGGAAGAAGAUGAGCCUUAAGUCUGAACACUGAGGAAUUCAUGUGCAUCAGUCAGACCUCCUGUGCAAGGAAGGAUGUGGUUACUACGGCAACCCUGCCUGGCAGGGUUUCUGCUCCAAGUGCUGGAGGGAAGAGUACCACAAAGCCAGGCAGAAGGAGAUUCAGGAGGACUGGGAGCUGGCGGAGCGACUCCAGUGGGAGGAAGAGGCCUUUGCCAGCAGUCAGAGCAGCCAAGGGGCCCAAUCCCUCACAUUCUCCAAGUUUGAAGGAAAGAAAACCAACGAGAAGACCCACGAGGUUACCACAGUGAAGAAAUCUUCAGUGCGUCUUCCAGGGUCGGAUCAAAGAAGGAAAUUCAGGAAGCAAAAGCCAGUCCUUCCAUAAACCGGCGAACCAGCAUUGAAACGGAUAGAGUGUCUAAGGAGUUCAUAGAAUUUCUCAAGACCUUCCACAAGACAGGCCAAGAAAUCUAUAAACAGACCAAGCUGUUUUUGGAA
rnacentral:lncRNA from 1 species